rnacentral:rRNA from 1 species
UGCGUAGGGGGCAAGCGUUGUCCGGAAUCAUUGGGCGUAAAGAGCGUGUAGGCGGCUCGAUAAGUCCGCUCUGAAAGCCCGGGGCUCAACCCCGGGAGGCGGGCGGAUACUGUCGAGCUAGAGUCCGGAAGAGGCGAGUGGAAUUCCUGGUGUAGCGGUGAAAUGCGCAGAUAUCAGGAGGAACACCAAUGGCGAAGGCAGCUCGCUGGGACGGUACUGACGCUGAGACGCGAAAGCGUGGGGAGCAAACAGG